rnacentral:lncRNA from 1 species
UUCAGCUGAUUCAGAUAAAGCUGCUGUCACCUUUAUAUCCUAAGAAUGGAAAAUCAUCGAUUGAAAUUUUGUCCACCAAAUCUCCACGUAAAACCAGUGACAAAAAGCCACCGCAAUGGACGCAAGUCUCCAUUCCUGUAGACGUUCGAGAUCCAUUCUCGCUCGAAAUCGUCUCAUCUUUGGAAAAUGGAGUUGGCAAGCAUUCAGUAAGAGUCGACGAUCUGGAGGUCCGAUACACGCCCUGCACAAACUUUAGCCAACAGGACUCAAUAAGCCGACAAGACUCGAAAAAGGACGGUAAGCAAUGCGGUUGGCUACAUAGGUGUUUUUCCAACAAGUUUGGACAGUCUUCAAGGUCCUCUUCUAGUUUGUCUGCAGCGUCAGUUUCGAAACCAUCAAGAAGACCAUAAUUUGAAAUGCUCGGGUCCAUGAGGGUGUGACCACCUUCGAUUUAUCUCUAUUGAGAGGAAAAAGACCGACGGUAGUUGCAUUACGAAUGGUGGCAAGUUAUUUGAUUGACAGCGGAAGAAGAAAGGAUCUACAUUUUUAAUUCAUAAAGAGUUUACUGAAUUACUGAUGUUCAGUACAAAAUCUGUAACAUAUUUUUGGCAACCGUCAAAGCUAGCUUCGACUAAAAGGUAAGAGGAGGACGAACUGACACAAAAUGGGCAUUGAGGCUUUCCUCAUUUCUCUUUUGCCUUCCAUUUUCAAAGUGUAAAAAUAUUCUUAGUCACAGAGCGCACAGAUGCGCUGUGGGAGUGAUUUGUUAGUAGUAGUAAAAAUAUUCUUAGUACUAGAGUAAUUUCCCAUUUAAGGAUCUGUGCAUUGCGUUGACCGCAGAAUCGUCCCGCAGAAAAUCAUAUUACACCUCAACCUGACUAUGAUGAUGAUUUGUCUCGCUACCUAAGGAAGGUACUGUUUGUAAUCACUAAAUAAUAUACAAGUAUUUCGUUUUUCCCGAAUUUCUUAAUGUACAGUUAAGCUCUUAUAGCGUAUGCCUAAUGAGAAUACCAUGGGCAUAUACAGCAUAUCUAAGUUUUUAAAAAGGAUGAGAAAAGUUUUCUAGUUUGAAAAAUAAAUUACAUGAACUGUGGAAAAUUCCCCGAAGACAGAGGGGCAAUAUCAUGAUGUUUGCUUUUUCAUUCUUCAUUUGUG